rnacentral:rRNA from 1 species
UACGUAGGGUGCAAGCGUUAUCCGGAAUUAUUGGGCGUAAAGAGCUCGUAGGCGGUUUGUCGCGUCUGCUGUGAAAACCCGAGGCUCAACCUCGGGCCUGCAGUGGGUACGGGCAGACUAGAGUGCGGUAGGGGAGAUUGGAAUUCCAGGUGUAGCGGUGAAAUGCGUAGAUAUCUGGAGGAACACCGGUGGCGAAGGCGGCGUCCUGGACCAACACUGACACUGAUGAGCGAAAGCCAGGGGAGCAAACGGG